rnacentral:rRNA from 1 species
AGGAGAGUUUGAUCAUGGCUCAGAUUGAACGCUGGCGGCAGGCUUAACACAUGCAAGUCGAGCGGAAACGAGAAGUGCUUGCACUUCGGCGUCCAGCGGCGGACGGGUGAGUAAUGCUUGGGAAUAUGCCUAGAGGUGGGGGACAACAGUUGGAAACGACUGCUAAUACCGCAUAAUGUCUACGGACCAAAGGAGGGGCUCUUCGGACCUUUCGCCUUUAGAUUAGCCCAAGUGAGAUUAGCUAGUUGGUGGGGUAAAGGCCUACCCAGGCGACGAUCUCUAGCUGGUUUGAGAGGAUGAUCAGCCACACUGGGACUGAGACACGGCCCACACUCCUACGGGAGGCAGCAGUGGGGAAUAUUGCACAAUGGGGGAAACCCUGAUGCAGCCAUGCCGCGUGUGUGAAGAAGGCCUUCGGGUUGUAAAGCACUUUCCGUCGUGAGGAAAGGUUAGUAGUUAAUACCUGCUAGCUGUGACGUUAGCGACAGAAGAAGCACCGGCUAACUCCGUGCCAGCAGCCGCGGUAAUACGGAGGGUGCGAGCGUUAAUCGGAAUUACUGGCCG